UCCCAUUGGCUGCCAGAGAACACAUGACCACCAUGCUGGUUGUCUCAGUUCCUCCCUCCCUGCUUGCUGCACGCAGGAGGAGUGGAGCGGAGUAGCUUGUGAGAGCUGCUGCUGCUGGGGAUGUUCCUUGACUCUGCCUGCCUGCCUGCCGUUUGCCCACCACACUGCCCUCUGGCUGCAUUUUAUUCUUCUGUUCUGCAUUAACAAACACCUGCUGCAUGCUGUUAAGGAUCCAAGCGAAAUGUGUCUAUAAUAGAAUGAACUGACAUAUCGAAAUACAGUGGUCAAGAAGCUUCGGGGUGAGCUGCAGUUUCCAGACCAUUUUCAAAGGCAGCCCCACAGCAGGGCCAAGCUAUUUCUCUCCAGAUAAGGUUGCAGUUGGUGUAUUUACCGAAGCUGAUAAAAGGCCUCUAGUGACAGUGCUGGAUCCUUGAGCACCCCCAAGCUGUGAACCUGGUCCUUCAGGGGGAGUGCAACCCCAUCUAGGACAGACACUGAACAUCAUUCACCUGGGCAGAGGAACCACCGACCAGCAGUACUUCUGUGUUGUCCGGAUUGAGUCUCAACUUGUUCACCCUCAUCCAGUGUCCAAUCCAGGCACUGAUUCAGGACAGUCACCGCCUCCCCUGCAUCUGGGCGCUUUCCAGAUUACACCCUGCAACGGUGGAUCUCGGAAGUGGGCUUCCACACUUCCUGUGUUGUGGCACUGCAGUCCCUACGCUGACAGGAGGGUGCCACCGUUCACAUUUCCAAUGACUUGUUUCGAAUUUAAUCACUGCAAUAUAUUAUUAUUAUUAUUGUUUACACAGUCAGACAGGUGUUAUUGACUGGUUUGUUUUAUCCAGACAUUGAGUCCUUCCCAAGGACCUGGGAUGGCUGCAUUUUAUCAUCAGUGUUGUUACUGUUAUUAUUAUAGAUAUCGUCACAAAAUAUAAGCUGUUCCCAGUAAAGUUGCUUUUUGUAGUUGGCUGAUGGUGAUUUCUGUGGCCCCGAGGGUGUUGAGGUGCUCCUCAAUGUCUUUUGGAAUUGCACCUAGGGCGCCAAUUACUACUGGGAUUAUUUUGUUUUUCUUUCUUCUCGACUACAGUUAUAUCUGGUGUAUUGUGUGGCAGAUGUUUGUUUGUAGUCGGAAUUAUUAUUAUUACUAUUAUUAUUAUUUUCAGUUUCUAUACCGCCCUUCCAAAAAUGGCUCAGGGCGGUUUACAUAG